rnacentral:lncRNA from 10 species
AAAUGUCUUCUUUUGAGAAGUGUCUGUUCAUAUCCUUUGCCCACUUGUUGAUGGGGUUGUUUUUUUCUUGUAAAUUUGUUUGAGUUCUUUGUAGAUUCUGGAUAUUAGCCCUUUGUCAGAUGAGUAGGUUGCAAAAAUUUUCUCCCAUUCUGUAGGCUGCCUGUUCACUCUGAUGGUAGUUUCUUUUGCUGUGCAGAAGCUCUUUAGUUUAAUUAGAUCCCAUUUAUCAACUUUGGCUUUUGUUGCCAUUGCUUUUGGUGUUUUAGACAUGAAGUCCUUGCCCAUGCCUAUGUCCUGAAUGGUAUUGCCUAGGUUUUCUUCUAGGGUUCAUAUGGUUUUAGAUCUAACAUUUAAGUCUUUAAUCCAUCUUGAAUAAAUUUUUGUAUAAGGUAUAAGGAAGGGAUCCAGUUUCAGCUUUCUACAUAUGGCUAGCCAGUUUUCCCAGCACCAUUUAUUAAGUAGGGAAUCCUUUCCCCAUUUCUUGUUUUUUCAGGUUUGUCAAAGAUCAGAUAGUUGUAGAUAUGCGGCAUUAUUUCUGAGGGCUCUGUUCUGUUCCAUUGGUCUAUAUCUCUGUUUUGGUACCCAGUACCAUGCUGUUUUGGUUACUGUAGACUUGUAGUAUAGUUUGAAGUCAGGUAGCAUGAUGCCUCCAGUUUUGUUCUUUUGGUUUAGGAUUGACUUGGCAAUGCGGGCUCUUUUUUGGUUCCAUAUGAAUUUUAAGGUAGUUUUUUCCAAUUCUGUGAAGAAAGUCAUUGGUAGCUUGAUGGGGAUGGCAUUGAAUCUAUGAAUUACCUUGGGCAGUAUGGCCAUUUUCACGAUAUUGAUUCUUCCUACCCAUGAGCAUGGAAUGUUCUUCCAUUUGUUUGUAUCCUCUUUUAUUUCAUUGAGCAGUGGUUUGUAGUUCUCCUUGAAGAGGUCCUUCACAUCCCUUGUAAGUUGGAUUCCUAGGUAUUUUAUUUUCUUUGAAGCAAUUGUGAUGGGAGUUCACUCAUGAUUUGGCUCUCUGUUGCUUGUUGUUGGUGUAUAAGAAUGCUUGUGAUUUUUGCACAUUGAUUUUGUAUUCUGAGACUUUGCUGAAGUUGCUUAUCAGCUUAAGGAGAUUUUGGGCUGAGAUGAUGGGGUUUUCUAAAUACACAAUCAUGUCAUCUGCAAAUAGGAACGAUCUGACUUCCUCUUUUCCUAAUUGAAUACCCU